AGACAGAACUUAGACUAUCAAGUCUUUGUGCGGUGAAGAACAUCAGCAAGAUGAGUGAAAGUGAUGGCGACGGUGGAAUUACUCAAAGAAAGAUGCGAAAGCGUAGAGCAAUUAGUCAGGGGACUGUGAAGCGAGUGGCAGAGGAAGUGGGGAAGCCCGAAGGGGGUCAUCAAAUCAAAGCUGCAGUUGAGAAUGAGGGUGCGCAAGAAGCUCAAAGUUGGCUUUGAGAAGGUAGUAGUAUUGUUGAGAGUGUUCUGCAGUGGUUUGGGGAAGAGGGUGUGAAUGGAGGUGAAAGUUUUAAGCUUUGGGGUGUUGAAAAUGAAGAUGGGUUCGGACUCGGGAUUGGUGAUUACGGUGGAGUUGCUCCUGGGUUUGGUGAAGUGGUGUAUUUGGUGAUCUUGGUGGUGGUGGGGAAAUCAGAUGGGUGGGUCUGGUGGGGUUGCAUUUGGAAAUGGUGGAAUGGGUCUUGCAGAUGGACUAAUGGAAGACCUGUUUGAGGUUGGGUGAACCAGACAAGGGUUUGAAUGUUGGUGGCGAAGUAAGCCAGUUGUUUUCUGGUGAAGCUGAGUGUAGCAAUGUGGAUGGUAAAGGCACUUAGGGGUUUGUUGAUGAAAAUACUCGUGGAAACGAACUCGAAACUUUUCUUGUUGGUCAAGGAGGUUACAUUGAAAACGUAGGCAAGCAAAAGGGAAGAAAAGGAGAGGGGCAAGCUAAGGGCAAGCGUGGUAGGCCAAAGGGUUCUAAGAAUAAGAAGAAAACUACUGGCGGUGAACAGAGUAUUGAAGGGUUAAGUGAUAGUAGUAAGGUUAAAACGCAAGAUCCCCGUAAGGCUCAGCCUAAGCGUGGCCGGCCAAAGGGUUCAAAACAUAGAAGCAAAAAUCUUGCUGCUGGACAAGGCAAAGAAGGGUUAAGCAAAGAAGUGGAGUUGGUGCUGAUUACAAGUCUGGACAUGAGAUUGUUUGCUCCAUAGUGAAGGAAGGUCCGGCAAUGGUCUCAAAGAAGAUAAGUCUUCCAGGUGAGAAUCGAGGCAUAUCUUGUGAUAUUGAGGGGGGUACUAGUGAUGACAGCUUUCAGUUGAACAAUGGGAAUAGUGAACCAAAGGCUCUUAAGAAUCGGAAGAAAAUCAUUGCUGAAGAAAACCAAGAAAUGUCUGGUACAAUUGAGGGUGGUGAAGGCUCAGAUGGAAUUAUGAAGGGAAACUACAUUGUCCAACCAAAGAGAAAAUGGGGCCGGCCAAACGGUUCAAAGAAUAAGCAGAAAAGGACAAGUGAUGAAAAUUUUGGACUAUGUGAACAGAAAACCUUGCGAUCAAAGGAUAAGCAAUGCUUGCCU